GUGAAUCAUCAAAUUUUUGAACGCAAAUUGCACUCUCUGGUAUUCCAGAGAGUAUGCCUGUUUGAGGGUCAGUUUAAAUAAAAUCGGUGUGGUUGCUGCCUUUCGUAGUUACGCACCGGAUUUUGGUCGGCUUUCCUUCGGUUUAGUGACCUUAAAUUUUGCAUGAAUUUUUUCGAACGUAAUUUAAUGAUUUUUCGUACCUUUUCGAU
rnacentral:misc_RNA from 1 species